rnacentral:misc_RNA from 1 species
GGCGGCCGCAUUCUUCUCCCCUCAGCGGCGAUCCACUGUCCUCUUCGGCUAUGACGAAGCGCACCAAGAAGGCCGGUAUUGUCGGCAAAUAUGGUACGAGAUAUGGUGCAAGUUUGCGUAAACAAAUUAAGAAGAUGGAAGUCUCUCAACAUGCCAAGUAUUUCUGUGAGUUCUGCGGAAAGUAUUCCGUCAAGCGAAAGGCUGUUGGAAUCUGGGGCUGUAAGGACUGUGGUAAAGUGAAGGCUGGGGGUGCUUAUACCCUGAACACUGCCAGUGCGGUCACUGUGAGGAGCACAAUUCGUCGUCUGAGAGAACAGACUGAAAGUUGAUCAUAGCAUUUUGGCCCGAGGUUUUCCGAAUUAGUUGCUAUUUAUGCUUUUAUCUUACUCUUUUCCGGACCCGAACUCUUUGGUAGACUUUUGAAAUGUCUGCUUUUCUCAUGAUUAUAUGUUCUCUGUUUUGUCUCAUGACUAUAAUGACACUUAAUAGGUCUCUAAUAUUGCAGUCUCUACUGAAUGCUUUGCCAGUUAUUUCAGUUGUUUUAUGUUACUGGCACUGUGACAUACCUCUCU